GAUGAAGAACGCAGCGAAAUGCGAUAAGUAAUGUGAAUUGCAGAAUUCAGUGAAUCAUCGAAUCUUUGAACGCACCUUGCGCUCUUUGGUAUUCCGAAGAGCAUGCCUGUUUGAGUGUCAUGAAAAUAUCAACCUUGACUUGGGUUUUGUGCUCUAGUCUCGGCUUGGAAUUGGGUGCUUGCCGCUUUUACGGGCGGCUCACCUUAAAUGUAUUAGCUGGAUCUGUCUUUGAGACUUGGUUUGACUUGGCGUAAUAAGUAUUUCGCUAAGGACAUUCUUCGGAGUGGCCUCGUUUCUAGGACGCUUGUCCGCUUUCCAAUACAAGUUCCACCUCGUGGACAUGACUUUUUAUUAUCUGGCCUCAAAUCAGGUAGGACUACCCGCUGAACUUAAGCAUAUCAAUAAGCGGAGGA
rnacentral:misc_RNA from 1 species